GCCUCUUUAGCUCAGGGGUAGAGCGUUCCCCUAGUAAGGGAAAGGUCAGUGGUUCAAAUCCACUAAGAGGCA
rnacentral:tRNA from 1 species